GACGAACGCUGGCGGCGUGCUUAACACAUGCAAGUCGAACGAAGAGCGAUGGGAGCUUGCUUCUAUCAAUCUUAGUGGCGAACGGGUGAGUAACGCGUAAUCAACCUGCCCUUCAGAGGGGGACAACAGUUGGGAACGACUGCUAAUACCGCAUACGAUCUAAUCUCGGCAUCGAGGAUAGAUGAAAGGUGGCCUCUACAUGUAAGCUAUCACUGAAGGAGGGGAUUGCGUCUGAUUAGCUAGUUGGAGGGGUAACGGCCCACCAAGGCGAUGAUCAGUAGCCGGUCUGAGAGGAUGAACGGCCACAUUGGGACUGAGACACGGCCCAGACUCCUACGGGAGGCAGCAGUGGGGAAUCUUCCGCAAUGGACGAAAGUCUGACGGAGCAACGCCGCGUGAGUGAUGACGGCCUUCGGGUUGUAAAGCUCUGUUAAUCGGGACGAAAGGCCUUCUUGCGAACAGUUAGAAGGAUUGACGGUACCGGAAUAGAAAGCCACGGCUAACUACGUG
rnacentral:rRNA from 1 species